AUGGCUGUCCUGGUGCUGCUCCUCUGCCUGGUGACAUUUCCAAGCUGUGCCCUGUCCCAGAUACAGCUGAAGGAGUCAGGACCUGGCCUAGUGCAGCCAUCACAGACCCUGUCACUCACUUGCACUGUUUCUGGGUUCUCAUUAACCAGCUCUAGUGUAAGGUGGAUCUGCCAACCUCCAGGAGAAGGUCUGGAGGAGAUGGGAGCAAUAUGGGAUGGUGGAAGCAGGGACUAUAAAUCAUCUCUCCAGUCCCGAAUCACCAUAACCAGGGACACCUACAAGAGCCAAAUUUUCUUAAAACUGAACAGUCUGCAAACUGAGGACACAGCCAUGUAUUACUGUGCCAAAAGCACAUUAUGGUCACUUGAUAAGUUCACUGCAUUGUUCACGGGCCACUGGCCUUUGUUGCAAUUGAACUGA